UAUUUGGAGGCGAUAGAGGGAGCCGUCAGGAAGGUCAAGGUGAGGUAGAGGGAUAGAGGAAGCCGUCAGGAAGGUCAAGAAGUGAGAGAAAGCCUUCAGGAAAGUCAAGGAGAGGUAGAGGGAUAGAGGAAGCCGUCAGGAAAGUCAAGGUGAGGUAGAGGGAUAGAGGAAGCCGUCAGGAAGGUCAAGGUGUGGAAGAGGGAUAGAGGAAGCCGUCAGAAAGGUCAAGGUGAGAUAGAGAGAUAGAGGGUGCCGUCAGGAAGGUCAAGGUGAGGUAGAGGGAUAGAGAAAGCCGUCAGGAAAGUCAAGGUUAGGUAGAGGGAUAGAGGAAGCCUUCAGGAAGGUCAAGGUGAGGUAGAGGGAUAGAGGAAGCCGUCAGGAAGGUCAAGGUGAGGUAGAGGGUGCUGUCAGGAAGGUCAAGAAGAGAGAGAAAGCCGUCAGGAAAGUCAAGGAGAAGGAGAGGGAUAGAGUAAGCCAUCAGGAAGGUCAAGAAAAGAGAUAAAGUCGUCAGGAAGGUCAAGAAGAGAGAGAAAGCUGUCAGGAAAGUCAAGGAGAAGGAGAGGGAUAGAGUAAGCCGUCAGGAAGGUCAAGAAAAGAGAUGAAGCCGUCAGGAAGGUCAAGGUGAGGUAGAGGGAUAGUGGAAGCCGUCAGGAAGGUCAAGGUGAGGUAGAGGGUGCUGUCAGGAAGGUCAAGAAGAGAGAGAAAGCCGUCAGGAAAGUCAAGGAGAAGGAGAGGGAUAGAGUAAGCCAUCAGGAAGGUCAAGAAAAGAGAUAAAGUCGUCAGGAAGGUCAAGGUGAGGUAGAGGGAUAGAGGAAGCCGUCAGGAAGGUCAAGGUGAGGUAGAGGGUGCUGUCAGGAAGGUCAAGAAGAGAGAGAAAGCCGUCAGGAAAGUCAAGGAGAAGGAGAGGGAUAGAGUAAGCCAUCAGGAAGGUCAA